UCUGCUUUAUAAGUUACCCUUCACCACAGGACCAGUUUCUAGAUGGUAAGAAUUCCAAGAAUCAUCAAGUCCAAUGUCUACUAAAGCAGACAAAUACAGUUUAAUGUUGAGGACGUGGGAUGUUCAAGGAAAAAUAUGUGAAAGAAUGUCUUUGAAUAAAUCUCAGAUCUGUUCUGCAAACAACAUGCUUAUCAAAAGAUGACUUUGAAGGCUUAUGAGAGACAGCAAGCAUGGUUAGAUGAGCAAACCUGGUUUGGAAUUGUGCCAUGUCCUUGGACCUUCCUACACAAAAAUGUUAAUCACACUUCUUCUAAAAACAAGAACAGAGAGAAUUGUGCACUUGUUUGUUUGGAUUGAUCCUGCCAGGACUGAGAGUUUAGCCAGCAAAGUGCAGCCAGGGGCUUGCUGGAGGAUUUUGUCUCAGAAGACACCAACAGUGAAGAUGAGAAAAAUCUAUUGGCAACCUGGAAAACAGCCAUUUGAAACUUCAAGAUUACAGAACACUCUUCUAGAUGUGACCUCUUCUGGAAGACAGUCUCUCGGACUAUUGUUGGUAAGAUGUCAAACAAUUAGAUGGGAAAACUGGAAUGGAACCCAGUGUCAUGCAGUUGGAGUCUUUUGGUGUGAGAGGGCUUUUUGGACAAUGGAUGACAUCAAUAUUCCCUGGCACACGGAGCAAGAUAUUGUGCCAAGAAAGUGCUACACGAAGCAUUAA
rnacentral:lncRNA from 1 species